GCCGUGUAAUGGUCUCAAGACUGCGGAGCAUGUUCACGCACAGCAUGGACACCACUUCAUGUAGGGGCACUGGACUGCCUAGAGUUGGAGGAAGGGACCCUUAUGUGUCUCCAGAAGCCUUCCUUUCCAUUCCUGUGGGGUCUGACAGUUGUUGGAAGAAGGCCUGCAGGUCCAGGGCCGAGCAGGGGCCUCCACCGUCUGCUGAGGUGGGGAUACUAUCUUUGGGAAUCACUGGAAGUUUUACUUACACAGGGACUUUGCCUGGGGGUGGUGAAGGGAUUGGUUUAAAUCAUUGUUGACUGGCCAGGAUUUCCUGAAGGUGAAUGUGGACCUCAUUGACUGGGGCCAAACAGACCUGAGUACACUUUCUUGGACUUGCUGCUGACCUCCUUACUGUCCAGAGUCUACCUGGUGCGUUCAUGUUCCCUACACACUGCAGGUUGUGCAUGAGGAUGUCUUUCAGGGUGACACUGGCUUGAAAAGUUAAGGGAGGCAGCCAGGUGCAGUGGCUCAUGCCUGUAAUCCCAGCACUUUGAGAGACCAAGGCAGGCAGAUCCCUUGAGGCCAGGAGUUCUAGACCAGCCUGGCCAACAUGGUGAAAUCCCAUUUCUAUGGGUGUGGGAGCCUGCACUUAUAAUCCCAGCUACUUGGGAGGCUGAGGCAUGAGAAUUGCUUGAACUCAGGAAGUGGAAGUUGCAGUGG
rnacentral:lncRNA from 10 species